AGCUCUCAGAGCACUAAGACAGCUUUACAGACAGGAUGACGUGCACACAGCUCUCCUUCUUGUUAAGAGUCACUGGAUGGCAAAAGGGGGAACUUGAGUUUCUCAGAGUUGCAAGUGAACGCACCAUGUGGUCCCUGAACUGCCCAUCCGCUGUUUACACACACGGGAACUCACGGUUCAACUUUCUGUUUCUUCUGAUGAUUAGUGAGAGAAUCCUGGAGAAGAAACGAGUCAUCUGACUGUUUUAAAUCAUGUUUGUUGGAUUGUUCCGGUUUACCUGGUGACAGGUAACAACACAAAGAGAAUACGAGGCAACCGAGCGGUUCAUUCAUCAAUAAGACAUAGAGGUGAAAGUUGUUCCUGUUGUUCUUUGUCUCUUGUGUUGAUUGAAGCCUUCAAUGACUCUGAUCAGGACAUUAAGAGGAUGUUUUGGGGCAGAUUGUCUCUUUAAAAGCAGCUGAAGGAGACUCAGGUGAGCUCCGUCAUUAGAAACUGGAUCAAAGCUCUUCUCCACCAGGCGGCGCCACUCUGAGUCUCAGAGACCAGAAGAUCCUGAUCUGGAUCAUCAUGAACCUGCUUUGAGACGCUGUGAUGUCAUCAGUCCUCCAUCUUGGACUGGAACAAGGCGUCUGAUCCAGAGGACGACGGUCAGCAGUUUGGACGAAUUGCCCCGAAACUUUCAAAAUGUUCUUAUUUUAUUUUAUGUUGAUACAUGUAGUAGGGUGACUUUUCCAGAAAUGUCAAAAAACACCAUAUUUUGAGAUGUCCAAAAUUUGAAUGUCGAAUUUUUUUGGGAAAAAAUCAUGCAUUUUUCAAAUGUCCCGAAACUUUCAAAAUUGUCU